AGCUUUAUAGUUAAAUAUAAUAUCAAACUGCAAUUUUGAAGUUGAACAAAUUCUAAGGCUU
rnacentral:tRNA from 1 species